AGGACGAACGCUUGCGACGUGCCUAAGAAAUGCAAGUCGAACGGGGUCAUCCUUCGGGGUGGCCUAGUGGCGAACGGUCGCGUAACACGUGGGCAACCUGCCCUGAAGCGGGGGACAACACACCGAAAGGUGUGCUAAUACCGCAUGUGAAUCGUGGUGGCAUCACCGAGGAUUCAAAGCCGCAAGGCACUUCAGGAUGGGCCCGCGGCCUAUCAGCUAGUUGGUGAGGUAACGGCCCACCAAGGCUUCGACGGGUAGCUGGUCUGAGAGGACGAUCAGCCGGAUUGGGACUGAGAUACGGCCCAGACUCCUACGGGGGGCAGCAAUUAGGAAUCUUGCGCAAUGGGCGAAAGCCUGACGCAGCGACGUCGCGUGAAGGAUGAAAUCUUUCGGGAUGUAAACUUCUUUUUUCGGGGAAGAACAAAUGACGGUACCCGAAGAAUAAGCCCGGCUAACUACGUGCCAGCAGCCGC
rnacentral:rRNA from 1 species